UUUUCCUUCUCUUUCAUUAUUUCUAUCAUCUACAGCCUUAGAGAGAGACAGCCUCUGCCUUGAAGAAUUUCCGAUCCAUUUGUGUUGAUUCACUGGCAAGAUCAGAGCUUAAGAAGAAGAAAGAGGAUAAGGCCCUGCCUUGCAUACCAGAAGUCCUAAUGCUUAUUCACGUCAUUUGACAAUCAGCGAAGAUCAGCUUGCUUUCAGAUAAUUCCACAGACCAGCCUGGAAUUCAACAUCCUGACACUGGUACUGCCACAAUGUGACUUCUUGCUGUUUGAGGGAAAAGUCCUUCCCCAGUGGGAUAUGUCAACACAAUAAAAAAGACUUUGCUGGACAUAUUAAUUUGCAUUACAACCAUAUGAAUCUUUUAAUGGAUCAGAAAUUCAUGUUUUCAGGUUGGUGCCUCCA
rnacentral:lncRNA from 1 species